AUGGAUCUGCUCCCCGAGGACGUGGUCGGAGAAGUGCUGCGCCGCCUCCCCGGCCGUAGCCUCGCGGCUUCCCGUGGCGUGUGCAGGGCGUGGCGCGCCGUCGUCGAUGCUCUCAACCUGCUCGUGCCACACAUGCUGCCGCACUCCGUCCGCGGCAUCUUCACCAACUACCGCGGCUCGUCGCGCCCCCGCUUCUUCGGCCGUCCCCGCAGCUGCAGCCCGGGGAUCGACGCCGCGUUCGACUUCAUCACGCCCGUGCAGCACGGCCAACACGGCGUGCACAGCGUGAUCGUGGACCACUGCAACGGCGUCCUCCUCUACGACGACGACGGCUGGCACUGGAAGAACCUCUACGUCUGCAACCCCGCGACGCGGCGCUGGGCGCUCCUUCCCGCCUCCUCCGGGGGACCAUUACUACCCAGGCCUGUGCUUCGCCGGCGCCUACCUCGCCUUCGACCCCGCCGUGUCGCUGCACUAUGA
rnacentral:rRNA from 1 species